CUGACCCAGUGCACCUGUGCAAUUUAAGUAAUCCAAAGGGUAGAUUGGUAGUCUCUGCUUUGGAAUUGUUUAGGUGAAAUGAUAGUAAGAAAGAAGUAAUAUUAAGGAACCAUGACUUCCAGUUUACAGACUACGUGGCAAGGUGAUGGGUGAGAGACUUGGAAAUGAGUGUUUGGAGCUGUGUUGAAAAUUGUCCCAGGCAGCCAGUGGAGACCUGAACUUCUUGCCACUAAGAGGCAUUGCCAAUUUGAAUAGACUGUCAGUUCUCCUCUUGGACUAUGUUUCUACAGUUAAGUGGACCAACAGCUUGCAGAUGAAGGAGAGAGCCCUGGGUGCCCUUGCGCCUUCAACCAGAGAGCUGUGUUUGGGAGUGAAUGGGGGAAUAUGCAAGAGUCAAAGCGGUGUGGUUCUUGGGCAUCAUGAGGAUAACAUACACACAAUUUAAAAAACAACAAUCAAAAAACUCCCACCUGAAUUAGACUUAGAGCUGGAGAUAUGAGUCUAUUGUAAGUUUAGUCUCCUCUUUCCACCAACUCUCAGUUAGUAGGCUUUGAUGUGGGAAUAUAAUUGCAGUGUGCCCACUUUAGAAGCUGUUUAUAUUGUUUAAGCUUCUGUUACACUUAAGACUUUGGAAAUUGAUUAAGAAAAUACUUUUAAUACCUCCUAUUUUAAGUUGUGAGGACUUGGAUGUACAGAUACACUGUUUUACAGAUAGCAUUUUAAAUUGUUUUACUGCAGCUCUGACUUUUCUUCUCCUAGCUUUUCUUCAUCUUCUUUCACCUUCUUUUUUGCUCAGAACUUUAUUUGCAGGGGAAAUUUUUUGCAUGGAUGAAGCACAUUUAAAAUUUGACCUAAUUUGCCAUGUGUUAAUUUGUUAUUCACACUUUAAAUCUUGCUCUCGACUGAUAGAAUUAUUUGUUUUCCGCACGGAAAAGGAUUUUACAUAGUUGAAAUGUUCUUUGUUAGAAGAGAGUUGUUUUGGCUUUCUUUUUAAUGCUCUCGGAUUUCUAGGCCGAUUAUUAGUUUUCUCUGGGUGGGGAAAAGCCUGUGUUUGAAUGGCUUCUCCUUUUAAUCCAAAUAAUCCUAGUCUCUAAAGAGAUUAACAUAAACACACAUAUACUCUCUUACUUUUGCCUGUGUGUCAGUGGUUUGGUUAAUUACGCUGUAUGCCUUCUCUCCAUUUAUAAGAAAGCAAAACAGAAAGCAAACUAAAACUACUCUGAAAAAGCAAAGGCCAGUUGAAACAAUAACUGUUGGCAGAGGAAAAUACAAAGACUGGUUUAGAAAUAGAUUGUUGCUCACAUUGGAGAGAGCCCAAGUUUCUCUUAGAGAGCCUUUGAAACUUGUUGUGUUGAUGUUUUUGCGCAGUGAAAUUCUAAGCUGGCUAAUGUUCCUGAGGAACACAUUUCAUGUAAAAUAACCACAUGUUAUAAGUGUUGAUCUGAGAACUGCUCAUUUGUGAGAUACAGCAAACAGAUAUCAUCCUCUAAUUGAUUGUGCUUAUGCCACUAAAGUACAAAAUUCAUCUCAUCUGUUUUGUUGGCUCUGUAAACACUAACAGAAGAAUUAUUCAACGGGGAUAGCUAUUAAAAUUUCUUU